rnacentral:rRNA from 1 species
GACGAACGCUGGCGGCGUGCCUAACACAUGCAAGUCGAACGGAAAGGCCCUUCGGGGUGCUCGAGUGGCGAACGGGUGAGUAACACGUGGGUGAUCUGCCCUGCACUUUGGGAUAAGCCUGGGAAACUGGGUCUAAUACCGAAUACACCUGCCUGGUUGCAUGGCUGGGUUGGGAAAGCUUUUGCGGUGUGGGAUGGGCCCGCGGCCUAUCAGCUUGUUGGUGGGGUGAUGGCCUACCAAGGCGACGACGGGUAGCCGGCCUGAGAGGGUGUCCGGCCACACUGGGACUGAGAUACGGCCCAGACUCCUACGGGAGGCAGCAGUGGGGAAUAUUGCACAAUGGGCGCAAGCCUGAUGCAGCGACGCCGCGUGAGGGAUGACGGCCUUCGGUUGUAAACCUCUUCAAUAGGGACGAAGCGCAAGUGACGGUACCUAUAGAAG